AGGGGGACCUUCAGCUCGUCUACCUGCACCUGCGGGCAUGAAACGCAGGCCCUUUAAAAUAGGGCGUCAGUACGAAAAAUAUACUGAGUAUGUAAGGCAACAGAAUAACUGAAAGCUAAAACUGAACUGAUAAUAUAAUAACUGAAAACAAUUGGGAGUCAAAGAAAAUCUGAAGAUAUGCUCAUCUGCUGAUACUAACUCAAUUCUCUCAAUAUAGUGAGUAAAAUAGUUGUCCGGCCUUAUAAGGCUCAGUAUACAUACAUAUCCGCUCUACCGUAGUAGGCUCGCUCAUAAGCACUCGGCCAUACUAGGCUUUGUUUCUCGACCAAAUGGGCUCGCUCAUAGGCGCUCGGCCACAGUAGGAUCGGUAUAUAACUUACCAUCUGAUAAGAGGUUGCCUAAUAGGGGCCUGCCCAUCGAUCAUAGCUUGAUGGUAAUAAAAAUACUUUUAAUACUGUACAUAUUUAAACUCUCUGCUCUUUUGUCUAGAAGAAGGAAAUACUCAACUGAAUGCGCAGUCUCGAUAAGAAGAAUAUGGUAACUUACAAAACUAGGAAAAUAUAUAUAAUUUGCGAGACUAGCAAAAUAUACGUAAAUUCCGGGAUAUGAAUUUUUCCUUAUGCCUCAUUAUCAAACUUGUAUAAUUACGAUAUCAUGCCAAAAUGAAGGAAAAUUUUAGCAUUAGCAUACCUGGAGUAGGAAAAACUUCGUAUAAUACUCCGUUGGGAAACCUUCGUUCACUGAGUGAAACUUGCCCCUGCUUCUUUAAAAAUUCACGAACGAAAUUCUUCUGCUUCCUUGAACUUUAUGGAACGAAUCACAUUUAUUUUGGCUUGGAAGGACCAAAGCUUCUGUUCCUAAUGCCUUUGGUUUUAAACCAAAGACAGAACGUGUGUAAUUUCCAUACUAAGGCUUCUGUUUGUUCCUAAUGUCUUUGG
rnacentral:lncRNA from 1 species